rnacentral:tRNA from 1 species
UAAGGUUAUAGUUAAUUAUAACAUUUGUUUUGCAUACAAAAAGUAUUGAUUUUAAUCAAUUUUCCUUA